UGUCUCCCAGCCUGAGGUGCAGUGCUGCAUCUCUGGUCAGUUGGGAGUCUGAGAUGAAGCACUGUAGCUCAGGAAGGGAGAAGA
rfam:Rattus norvegicus chromosome 18, whole genome shotgun sequence.